AUGGUGCACCAGGAUUUGAUAAUUGGUGAUAUGAUCAGACAGACAAGCACACAGACCAUUGCCUCGCCUUCCUCCUCCUCCGGGAAGCUCCCCCAGGCCUUGCCCUCCUCCUCCGAGAAGCUCCCCCUAGGCCUCGCCUUCCUCCUCGUCCAGGAAGCCCCCCCACCAGGCCUCGCCCUCCUCCUCCCCCGGGAAGCCCCCCUAAGCCUCGCCCUCCUCCUCCUCCGAGAAGCCCCCCAGGCCUCGUCCUCCUCCUCCCCUGGAAGCCAUCCCCACUCCCCAGACCCCCUAACUUGCUCUCCUCCAGGGAGCCCCAGGGCCCUGCAGCACCAAGAGGCCGAAUGGGACCCCGAGGCCACUCUGCCCGCGUCCGCCUCACUCGCCCCUUCAGCGCCAGGUCUGGGGGAUCCGCGCCUGCGCCCCGGGGCGCCCCUGUCGCGGGGUCUGGCUGUCCAGGCUCAGGGGCCCAGGUGUCAGGCUGGUAGCGGGAAGGAAGGCGCCGGCCUCCCCACUGCCUUCACCCCGUGCGGCGUCCCCGGGAAGGGCCGCGGAAGAGCCGCCAUUGGCACCCAGAGGGCCGUGGACGACGAGCGCCCUGCGUGGUGUUCGUGGCGCUGGCCCGGUCUCCGCGGAUCGGAGGCGAAGCCAGCCUGGCCCUCGGGUCGCCUGUCUUUUGUCGAGCUAGCGACAUCACCUGGCGGUCCUCGCAGCAGCGUGCCCUCGGAACGCCGGGUGGGCUGCGGGCGUGGCGGGACUCCUGGUCUCUCUUCCCGGGGGGCGGACACUGGCGUUGCCGCGUCCUACAGAGCCGGGCGCCGACCGGGAGGCGCAUCUGGGCCCCACCGGGGCUGCCAGCACCGAGCAUGCGAACGCACCCUCCCGCCCGGAGGCCGCCGGCGCCGCGGUCAGAGAACCCUAGAGCCACUCGGCUGGGCGUGGCGCGGCGGGGCGGGGAACGGGGCGGUGCCUGGGCGGUGGACUUGCGCAGCCGCGUGGCAUUCUGGGGCCGGAAGUGGCGCGCACACUGCGGGCUGGUUCACGGCAGCUGCGCUGAGCCGCGAGAGGCGCCUGGCGGAGCUGACGGUGGAUGAGUUCCUAGCUUCCGGCUUUGACUCCGAGUCCGAAUCCGAGUCCAAAAACUCCCCAGAAGCGGAGACGCGGGAGGCACGCGAGGCUGCCUGGAGUCCCGAUGAGCCGGGCGGGAGCCCCUCGGCCAGCCGGCGUAAAGGCCGUGCCUCUGAACACAAAGAUCAGCUCUUUCGGCUUAAGGAUAGAGACCCGGAGUUCUACAAGUUCCUGCAGGAGAAUGACCAGAGCCUGCUAAACUUCAGCGACUCGGACAGCUCUGAGGAGGAAGAGGAGCCGUUCCACUCCCUGCCAGAUGUGCUGGAGGAAGCCAGUGAGGAGGAGGAUGGAGCAGAGGAGGGGGCAGAUGGGGACAGAGUCCCCAGAGGGCUGAAGGGGAAGAAGAAUUGUGUUCCUGUGACCCUCGGCGUGGUUGAGAGAUGGAAGCAGGCAGCAAAGCAACGCCUCACUCCAAAGCUGUUCCAUGAAGUGAUACAGGCGUUCCAAGCAGCUGUGGCCACCACCCAAGGGGACCAGGAAAGUGCUGAGGCCAACAAAGUCCAGGUCACGGACAGUGCUGUGUUCAAUGCUCUGGUCACCUUCUGCAUCAGAGACCUUAUUGGCUGUCUCCAGAAGCUGCUGUUUGGAAAGGUGGCAAAGGACAGCAGCAGGAUGCUGCAGCUGUCCAGCAGCCAGCUCUGGGGGAAGCUCCGUGUGGACAUCAAGGCGUACCUGGGCUCAGUCAUACAGCUGGUGUCCUGUCUGGCAGAGACAACGGUGUUGGCGGCCGUGCUGCGGCACAUCAGCGUACUGGUGCCCUGCUUCCUGACCUUCCCCAAGGAGUGCCGCAUGCUGCUUAAGAGAAUGAUGGUCGUAUGGAGCACAGGGGAGGAGUCCCUGCAGGUGCCGGCUUUCCUGGUCCUCAGCAGUCUGCCGGCACAAGAAGGACACUUUCCUUGGCCCUGUCCUCAAGCAAAUGUACAUCACGUAUGUGAGGAACUGCAAGUUCACCUCGCCUGGUGCCCUCCCCUUCAUCAGUUUCAUGCAGCGGACCCUGACGGAGCUGCUGGCCCUGGAGCUGGGUGUGGCCUACCAGCAUGCCUUCCUCUACAUCCGCCAGCUCGCCAUGCACCUGCGCAACGCCAUGACCACCCGCAAGAAGGAAACGUACCAGUCUGUGUACAACUGGCAGGACGUGCACUGCCUCUUCCUGUGGUGCCAGGUCCUGAGCACUGUGGGCCCCAGCGAAGCCCUCCAGCACUUGGUCUACCCCCUUGCCCAGGUCAUCAUUGGCUGUAUCAAGCUCAUCCCCACUGCCCGCUUCUAUCCACUGCGAAUGCACUGCAUCCGUGCCCUGACACUGCUCUCCAGGAGCUCGGGGGCCUUCAUCCCAGUGCUGCCUUUCAUCCUGGAGAUGUUCCAGCAGGUCGACUUCAACAGGACGCUGGGGCGCAUGAGCUCCAAGCCCAUUAACUUCUCUGUGAUCCUGAAGCUGUCCAAUGUCAACCUGCAGGAGAAGGUGUACCGGGACAGCCUGGUGGAGCAGCUGUACGACCUCACCCUGGAGUACCUGCACAGCCAGGCACACUGCAUCAGCUUCCCAGAGCUGGCGCUGCCUGUGGUCCUGCAGCUGAAAUCAUUCCUCCGGGAAUGCAAGGUGGCCAACUACUGCCGGCAGGUGCAGCAGCUGCUUGGGAAGGUUCAGGAGAACUCCGAACACAUCUGCAGCCACUGCCAGAGGAUUUCUUUCGGCGUCUCUGACUGGCAGGCAGUGGAAGCCUGGGAGAAGCUGACCCGGGAAGAGGGUACCCUCCGACCUUGUACUACAGCCACUGGCACAAGCUGUGUGACCGGGAGAUCCAGCUGGAGAUCAGUGGCAAAGAGCGGCUGGAAGACCUGAACUUCCCUGAGAUCAAACGAAGGAAGGUGGCUGACAGGAAGGAUGAGGACAGGAAGCAAUUUAAAGACCUCUUUGACCUGAACAGCUCUGAAGAGGACGACACUGAGGGAUUCUCGGAGAGAGGGAUACUGGGGCCCCUGAGCACUUGGCAUGGGGUGGAAGAGGAUGAAGAGGACGAGGAGGAGGGCAAGGAGGACAGCAGCAACUCAGAAGAUGGAGACCCAGACGCAGAGGCAGGGCUGGCCCCUGGGGAGCUGCAGCAGCUGGCCCAGGGGCCUGAGGACGAGCUGGAGGAUCUGCAGCUCUCAGAGGAGGACUGAGGCAGCCCAUCUGGGGGGCCUGUAGGGGCUGCCGGGCUGGUGGCCAGUGUUUCCACCUCUCCGGCAGUCAGACCUAGAGGCUGGCGUCUGUGCAGUUGGGGGAGGCAGUAGACAGGGGACAGGCUUUAUUAUUUAUUUUUCAGCAUGAAAGACCAAACGUAAUGAGAGCUGGGCUGGGCUGGCGUGGCUGCUGAAGCCCCACAGCUGUGGGCUGUUGAAGUCAGCUUUGUGGGGGAGCUGACCUUGACGUCAGCAGACCGACACCAGUCCCAGUUCCAGGGGGAGGCCUGCAGCUCCCUGGCCCCUUCAACCACCUCUGCCCUCCGUCUGCAGACCUUGUCCUUCCGCACCAGGCUCUGCAUUCACUCCCCCAAGUCUUUGGAAAUUUGUUCCUUUCCUUUGAAGUCACAUUUUCCUUUAAAAUUUUUUGUUUUGCAUCCAAAACUGAAAGAAAGCUGUGGGGAGGCAGGGCCACUGU